AUUGAACGCUGGCGGCAUGCCUUACACAUGCAAGUCGAACGGCAGCGGACCUUCGGGUGCCGGCGAGUGGCGAACGGGUGAGUAAUAUAUCGGAACGUACCUUUCAGUGGGGGAUAACCGUAGGCGAAAGUUUACGCUAAUACCGCAUAUUCUGUGAGCAGGAAAGCAGGGGAUCGCAAGACCUUGCGCUGAUUGAGCGGCCGAUAUCAGAUUAGCUAGUUGGUGAGGUAAAGGCUCACCAAGGCGACGAUCUGUAGCGGGUCUGAGAGGAUGAUCCGCCACACUGGAACUGAGACACGGUCCAGACUCCUACGGGAGGCAGCAGUGGGGAAUUUUGGACAAUGGGCGCAAGCCUGAUCCAGCCAUGCCGCGUGAGUGAAGAAGGCCUCGGUUGUAAGA
rnacentral:rRNA from 1 species